GGCAGCCAUGGAAGAACUGUGUUCGUUGUUGGACAUGCGUUGGAGGCCAUCGAUUUUUGUUUGGGAGCUGAGCUGCAAAUCCAGCCGCGCUUUCAAUCUUCGUGUCACAGAUUUGGGAUCGGGAGAUUUCAUCUUUUCUACAGCCUUCGACUCAGGCUUCCAUCUUUCUUGCUUGCGAAUAUUUGCAUCCUUUGUCUUCAGGUUCUUGAGUAAUCCCUAUUGCUAUAUAAGAGGAGUUGAGGUAUUUAAAUUUCACAACAUAUUGGGUUCUAUCAGGAAGGGGAUUGAAUCUCACAGAUUAGCUCAGGUAUUUCCAUCAUUGUUAUUAUUAAUUUUUUAAAUCAAUUGUCAAUUCAAUGACUUUGCUCUCUUCGAGAAAUCUUAGAAAUGGAAAUCAUUCUCAAUUUCUGUUUUUAUUGCUGAUAAGACAUUGGAAAGCAAAAACUAAGCAUGCUUUUUUUUUUUAUUGAAAAAAUUUUCUUUUUUGUUCUGCUGUUGGUUGUUGUAUUCUAAAUAUGGAGAAAAAAAUUAAUGAUAAAACACAAGGAAAAAAGAAGUGAAGAUUAAUCACGUUUUCACAAAAUAGAAAUUAG
rnacentral:lncRNA from 1 species